rnacentral:misc_RNA from 1 species
GAUGAAGAACGUAGCGAAAUGCGAUAAGUAAUGUGAAUUACAGAAUUCAGUGAAUCAUCGAAUCUUUGAACGCACCUUGCGCCUUUUGGUAUUCCGAAAGGCACACCUGUUUGAGCGUCAUGAAGACCUCAAUCUCCAUCUUUUCUUCGGAUUGAUGGGUGACUUGGAUGUUGAGCCCUGCUGGUAUGCUAUAUCAGCUGGCUUUAAACUUAUUAGCCGGCUCUGUACUGGAUCGGUUUGACUCGACGUGAUAAUAUUAUCGUUGAGGAUGCAUGUCUCAUGCAGCCGGAAAGUAUCAAAGCAGCUUCUAGCUUGCCUUUAGUGCACUUUUACAUUUUAGACCUCAGAUCAGGUGGGACUACCCGCUGAACUUAAGCAUAUCAAUAAGCGGAGGA